rnacentral:rRNA from 1 species
UACGAAGGGGACUAGCGUUGUUCGGAAUUACUGGGCGUAAAGCGCACGUAGGCGGACUUGUAAGUCAGGGGUGAAAUCCCGGGGCUCAACCUCGGAACUGCCUUUGAUACUGCGAGUCUCGAGUCCGAUAGAGGUGGGUGGAAUUCCUAGUGUAGCGGUGAAAUGCGCAGAUAUCAGGAGGAACACCGAUGGCGAAGGCAGCUCGCUGGGACGGUACUGACGCUGAGGCGCGAAAGCGUGGGGAGCAAACAGG